UAGGGAAUCUUCCACAAUGGACGCAAGUCUGAUGGAGCAACGCCGCGUGAGUGAAGAAGGGUUUCGGCUCGUAAAGCUCUGUUGUUAAAGAAGAACGUGGGUAAGAGUAACUGUUUACCCAGUGACGGUAUUUAACCGGAAAGCCACGGCUAACUACGUGCCAG
rnacentral:rRNA from 1 species